UACCUCCUCAAGCACGACACAGUAGCGGAAGAUCUCUUCUCUCACGCGAUUUCCUCCCGCGGCGGCUAGGCCCUUUCUACUUCUUCUUCUCAGAUACAAGCGGCGACAGCAGUAAGUACUUGGCAGGGGCAGCAAACUUCGAAGAAGAUUCCGAUUAUCCACCUCACCGAGGGGUUCUCCGGUGAGAUCCUUCACCUUCCGACUUCUUUGUCUUUCUGGAGUUCGGACGGGUAGAGGAAGAAGAAGGCAGCAGAGCAUAGGGAGGUCCGACGGCGGUUCAUUCCAGCACCUCCAUCUUCAUUUCCAGCCAACUUCCCGCAGAGGGGUUCUCCGUUGGAAAAUUGGCUUCACCGUUGUCGAAGUUUGCAGCAAUCCGACAAUGAGCUACUGUCCACUGGUUUUGGGGGUUCCGAAACUGGGUCCUCGUGUGACGACGAGGAUAGUCAUUGGUAUUGAAGAAGUUGUGUGGAUUGUGGUUUGGAUAAUUAGAAUUUUCUUGUUUAGUUAGUUUAAUUUGGUUCAUUGCUUAUGUUUACUUCUGUUGAUGUUUUGUGGUUGAAUGCUUGUAUUGAACGUUAUUUCCAUGUUUGAAUUGCACUUACUUUGCUUAAUUAGAUUUA